UUUCCGUAGGUGAACCUGCGGAAGGAUCAUUAUUGUAUAACCGAGAUGCGAGGGCUGUCGCUGACCCGAAAGGUCGUGCACGCCCGAGUGCCCUCACACACAUCCAUCUCACCCCUAUGUGCACCACCGCGUGGGUCCCCCUUUGGCUUGUUCGGAGGGGGGCUUACGUUUUCACACAAACUUUGUAUGCAGUGUAGAAUGUAUUUUUGUUUUUGCGAUCACGCAAUCAAUACAACUUUCAACAACGGAUCUCUUGGCUCUC
rnacentral:misc_RNA from 1 species